UGGGGUGGGGUGGGGCAUAAUUCUGUUUAAAACUGUUCUUUACCCUACCCUUCCAUAGGAAUUUGCACACAGGUGGUCAGGAUUGCUCUUUAAGCAUCACCGCCUUCAUCCUAGAGCUGUUUUCCUCCCAGAAAUGUUAAAAAAAAAAAAAAAUGAAUUAGGACCUUCAUACUUCAUCUUUCUUGGUCAGGCAGAAAGUACUAAGUGUCUGCCAGCCUAGUUCUCUGACAAAGACUAAACUUCCCAGGGAACCUGAAAUAUCAACAGCAGUAACUCACUAACCAGGGACCAAAAUGCCUUUCAAAAAACCCAGUUUACCCUGAAGGGGAGCAAGUGCAGCUAUAAUUUGUGAAUGCGCACCAGUGCUAUUGUUUGAAUUUCCUCUGAGAUUGGACUCAUAGGUUGUAUAUCUACAAAGGGAAUUUGGGGCCACCUAGUUAAACUCCAUUUUGGGGAUAAAGAAACUGAAGUCAAGGGUCUUCUCUAAAAGUGGCAGAGAUGGGACAAAACCCCAGGUCUUCCCAUUCUUUAGCUUUCUUAAAAAAUGCGGAGUCUGCCAUGCUCAGCCUACCAAGAGUCCCUUGAGUGCAGGGUCUCUUGUGAAACAGCCAGUCUGGGGCAAAAAUGGACAAACUAAUGUCCUCGACUUUCUUUCCUGGUGUGCGGCUCAACUAAACAAGCUAACUCAGCACUCCCUUCUGAUGAAGCAGGAGUCAGGUGACCUCGGGCCUAUUCCCCAGCCCAGGAGCAGCAGUGGGGUGACUGCACGCUGAGAGUGCUCUGAGGAGCUGUGGAGUUUCCUGGCCAGGGCUCCCAGCCUCCCUCUCUCCUGUGUUCAGAGAGGAGACCUAACCGGCCUCCCCGUGAGAGCUUCACCCCUGCUUGGCAUCCGCCCCGUGCUAGUUACGCUGCCCCUUUCCCGUCUCCCCCACCGCAGACAGCACUAACCCAGUAUGACAGUUCUUCAGCAGAGCCGAAACCUGGUUUCGGCAUCUUCCUCAAAUUAGCUCCACAGGCAGCCACUUCAGAUCAUCCAGUCAGCGGGAGAGAGGGGACUAGUUUGCAAUCCUGCUUCUGAGUGAUUUCGUCUAAAAGACAAUUCUGAAGUCAGCCUCCAGGGAAUGAGGAAGGUGUGGUGGUGUGUGUACGUGUGAUAAAGACCCAGGACAACCAGUUGGAGCUGCGGGUUCCAUUUGCAGCCGUUGAACACAGUGAUCCCACUGAUGGGGCUCAAAUGGAUGUCCUUGACUUUCCUGAUGUGAUUCUCAACCAAACAAGCUCACCUGUGACCGACAAGAGAAUAAAGGUUUGUUACUCAAGGUAUGGGCUUCCCUGGUGGCUCAGCAGUAAAGAAUCCACCUGCUAAGGCAGGUUCCAUUUCUGGGUCAGGAAGAUCCGCUGAAGGAGGGCAUGGCAACUCACUCCAGUAUUCUUGCCUGGGGAAUCCCAUGGACAGAGGAGCCUCUUACAGCCCAUAAGGUCGCAAAGAGUUGGACAUGCCCAAAGUGACUUAGCAUGCAUGCAGGCACAGGUAAUGUAUAUGCUUGAGAGUUUGAGAGGCACUGGCUUAGAAAGUCGCCAGGACUUCACACUGACUAGUAUUUGAAGUGUGCCGGACUUUGGCAGAUGUCACCAAGACAGGCCUGUCAUUAGAGUUGGCUCAGCGCAUGCAAAGGCACUGGGCAGAGACAAUGGUCCGUUGCGACCAAUGUUGUUUGAGAAAGAAAACUCUGUUCUUGUUUUGCACAGCCCUUUUUAUUUCUUCCCCCAUCUGCUGUUCAUUCAUCCUUUCUUGUUGCUUCACCCUGCAUAGGCCCUAAUAUCCAAUUUUCAGAAUUUCUUCCAAUUGUCUCAGCCCCUUCACUCCUUGUUUUCAUCAUCGG
ensembl:lncRNA